rfam:Streptomyces sp. Root264 contig_23, whole genome shotgun sequence.
GCCUCCUUAGCUCAGCUGGAACGAGCAGCUCACUUGUAAUGAGCAGGUCGUCGGUUCGAAUCCGACAGGGGGCU